rnacentral:rRNA from 1 species
UACGUAGGCAGCAAGCGUUGUUCGGAAUUACUGGGCGUAAAGAGUGUGUAGGCGGUGCUCUAAGUUUGGUGUGAAAUCUCCCGACUCAACCGGGAGGCUGCAUCGAAUACUGGAAUGCUAGAGGGUGGGAGAGGUAAGCGGAAUUCCUGGUGUAGCGGUGAAAUGCGUAGAUAUCAGGAGGAACACCUGUGGUGUAGACAGCUUACUGGACCACUUCUGACGCUGAGACACGAAAGCGUGGGUAGCAAACAGG